AUCCGCGGUUCAAAUCACGGGAUGGGCCUGGGAUCUUUCUGCAUGGAGUUUGCAUGUUCGACCUGUGCAUGCGUGGGUUUUCUCCGGGCACUCCGGGUUCCUCCCGCAGUCCAAAAAUAUGCUGAGAUUAAUUGAUUUACUCUAAAUUGCCCAUAGGUGUGAAUGUGAGUGUGAUUGUCUGUAUAUGUAGCCGUGCGACACGACGCUGAAGUUAGCUUCCGAUUCGGCACUUAAGGGAAAAGUUAAGGGGAAAUUAAAUGAACGUGCGGUGCAACAGUUUAUCCACUGAUUAUCUGUUUUUUUCGACACUUCUUGAUGUGUAAACAUUUUAGACAUUUGGGUAAGACAUUAACUAUGCCUGACAAGAGAAACUGUCACAGUACCAGUUGUAUUUUUGUUAUUGAGUUUGUAUUUUAGUUGCAUGGUUUGGAGUGGUCAUUUUAAUUGUUUAGUUUUCAUUUUAUAGUUGCAUGGUUUUGUUUGCAGUGGUCAUUUUGUUAUGUUUUUAUUUUGUAGUUGCAUGGGUUUAUUUUGAGUGUGCAUGUUGUUUACUGGGUGGAGUGAUCUUUCUUUGUUGUGAGUUGUAAUUAGUGAAUACAGCUGGCACUGAUUAGUGGAGACUGCCAUUGAUUGGACAGAGCUACCUGAGCUGAUGAACAAAAGAGGGACACGUGCAAGAAAGGAGCGCACAGGGGAAGAGAAGGAGAGGAGUAACAGGGCGACUGCGAGAAGAACUGGGGACAGACGGGGAACAAAGUGGAGCGACACGAGAGUGGAUCGAGCCAAAGAAACUCCACGCUACAUGCAGUAAGCAGCGCUGGUUCGAGGGGAGAGGACGGAGGCGGACUGAGUCGGGUCGUGGCUGUACGGAGGCAGGAACUGAAGGCUGAAGACUCUGGAACCGAUGAUACUCAGAGGGAGCUGGAGCAGCUCACCAUGGCAGUGUUUGUCAUUCAGAAGGAGGGGGAAGGACUUCAGGAGCCACCUGAAGACAUUGGCAUCGUCAUUGACGGCAUGGAAGUACUGCAUGAACUGACUUCGGUUGCCUCAGCUUGUGCCCUGCUUUUCGGUUUGAUUUAUGCACUAAACCUAGCUGAUCCAAAACCCCUUUGCUUCACUUUUGAAGUACUCCAAAAAAUCCUGUUGUGGCUUGAUCAGGAUAAGAUGUCCCCCAAAGUCUGUAAUCUGUAUAGCAAACUUCAAAGCUCACAGUAACGACACACCACAAUGAAUUCCUCCUCUGGGCCAACAAACAGCCUAGUGCCAUACUGUGAAAGAACAAUGGUGUUUGUACAUAAUGCAUUUAAAAAAACGUGUCUCUUUCAGUUGUUGGGCCUUAUUUUAAUUCUCGAUGAGACUCAACAAAUGUUCCUGAAAACCACAAUUUGAAGUGCUUUUACACUGAUUUUUUCAUGGGUUUGGCAGAAGUUUUUCUCCAAACAUAUUUCCUUCUGUUUGUAGGAAAAGGUUGCAUUUCAAUUUGGUGUGUUCAGUUACACAACAAACAGUUGUGACCAUGUGUAACUGUGAUUUAAUACUCUCAUAGAAGUGUUCAUAUUUUUUCAUUCCCAUUAUUCAGUGAUAGUGUUCAGAUCCAUAAUAUUCACUGGCUUUAGUUGAUGAAAGAGGUUUCUGCAUAGUCUUGGCACGUUUUCAUAGUUGUGAGAACACUGUUGAUAUUGUUAGGCAUAUUUGUGUCAUACUUUGAUGCACUAUCUUGCACUUUGCCAACAAAAGUAAUUUGUGCUGUUACUAACAGUUAUGCAUUUUGUGCAUGUGUUUUAAAAAGGACAAAUGUGCACUGUGUUGGCCCAAAAGCUGUGUUGGCGGUCAUGAAUUUAACAUUUACACAAUAAAGUAUAACAAAAAACCAA